CAAUAGCUAAAUAAGAGCGUAUGGGGAAUGCCUAGGCUCUCAGAGGCGAUGAAGGACGUGAUAAGCUGCGAAAAGCUGCGGGGAUUGGCACAUACAAAUUGAUCCGUAGAUAUCCGAAUGGGGCAACCCACUAUAUUGAAGAUAUAGUAUGUCGUAAGACAAGCAAACCCAGAGAACUGAAACAUCUAAGUACCUGGAGGAGAAGAAAACAAAAGUGAUUCCGUUAGUAGUGGCGAGCGAACGCGGAUUAGCCCAAACCAGUAUUGUUACGGCAAUAUUGGGGUUGUAGGACCAAGACAUUUAAUGUUUAAUGAAUUAGAAUACUUUGGAAAAAGUAACCAUAGAGGGUGAUAGUCCCGUAUAGGUAAGUUGAAUUAUUAAUAUUGGUAUCCUGAGUAGCGCGGGGCACGUGUAACCCUGUGUGAAUCUGUCGGGACCAUCCGAUAAGCUAAAUACU
rnacentral:rRNA from 1 species